rnacentral:rRNA from 1 species
ACGAACGCUGGCGGCGUGGAUAAGACAUGCAAGUCGAACGAGAGAAUUGCUAGCUUGCUAAUAAUUCUCUAGUGGCGCACGGGUGAGUAACACGUGAGUAACCUGCCCCCGAGAGCGGGAUAGCCCUGGGAAACUGGGAUUAAUACCGCAUAGUAUCGAAAGAUUAAAGCAGCAAUGCGCUUGGGGAUGGGCUCGCGGCCUAUUAGUUAGUUGGUGAGGUAACGGCUCACCAAGGCGAUGACGGGUAGCCGGUCUGAGAGGAUGUCCGGCCACACUGGAACUGAGACACGGUCCAGACACCUACGGGUGGCAGCAGUCGAGAAUCAUUCACAAUGGGGGAAACCCUGAUGGUGCGACGCCGCGUGGGGGAAUGAAGGUCUUCGGAUUGUAAACCCCUGUCAUGUGGGAGCAAAUUAAAAAGAUAGUACCACAAGAGGAAGAGACGGCUAACUCUGUGCCAGCAGCCGCGGUAAUACAGAGGUCUCAAGCGUUGUUCGGAAUCACUGGGCGUAAAGCGUGCGUAGGCUGUUUCGUAAGUCGUGUGUGAAAGGCGCGGGCUCAACCCGCGGACGGCACAUGAUACUGCGAGACUAGAGUAAUGGAGGGGGAACCGGAAUUCUCGGUGUAGCAGUGAAAUGCGUAGAUAUCGAGAGGAACACUCGUGGCGAAGGCGGGUUCCUGGACAUUAACUGACGCUGAGGCACGAAGGCCAGGGGAGCGAAAGGGAUUAGAUACCCCUGUAGUCCUGGCAGUAAACGGUGCACGCUUGGUGUGCGGGGAAUCGACCCCCUGCGUGCCGGAGCUAACGCGUUAAGCGUGCCGCCUGGGGAGUACGGUCGCAAGAUUAAAACUCAAAGAAAUUGACGGGGACCCGCACAAGCGGUGGAGUAUGUGGCUUAAUUCGAUGCAACGCGAAGAACCUUACCUGGGCUUGACAUGUAAUGAACAACAUGUGAAAGCAUGCGACUCUUCGGAGGCGUUACACAGGUGCUGCAUGGCCGUCGUCAGCUCGUGUCGUGAGAUGUUGGGUUAAGUCCCGCAACGAGCGCAACCCCUGUUUCUAGUUGCCAGCAUGUAAAGAUGGGAACUCUAGAAAGACUGCCGUAGAUAAUACGGAGGAAGGUGGGGAUGACGUCAAAUCAUCAUGCCCUUUAUGUCCUGGGCUACACACGUACUACAAUGGCUGUAACAGAGGGAAGCAACAUAGAGAUGUGAAGCAAAUCCCAAAAAGGCUGUCUCAGUUCGGAUUGUAGUCUGCAACUCGACUACAUGAAGCUGGAAUCGCUAGUAAUCGCGGAUCAGCAUGCCGCGGUGAAUACGUUCCCGGGUCUUGUACACACCGCCCGUCACACCAUGAGAGUUGGGGAUACCCGAAGCCUGUGAGCCAACUAAUUUAUUAGAGGCAGCAGUCGAAGGUAGAAUCAAUGAUUGGGGUG